AAUAAGUAAUGUUUUACACUGUUCACGUCCAACGUUUAACCGUUUGUCUUAUUUGAAAUUUUUUUAUGAUUAGUAUUUUUAUUAUUAUUAGAUGAUAAAACAUGAAUAGUACUUUAUGUGUGACUAUUUUUUUAAUUUUUUUAUAAAUUUUUCAAAUAAGACGAACGGUCAAAUGUUGGACACGGAUACCCACGGCUGUACUUAUU
rfam:Oryza sativa Japonica Group DNA, chromosome 2, cultivar: Nipponbare, complete sequence.